AAAGCUUUAAGUUAAUUUAAACUGUUAAUUUUCAAGAUUAAAAAUAUUGAUUUCUUUAAGUUUUG
rnacentral:tRNA from 1 species